rnacentral:rRNA from 1 species
UACGUAGGUGGCAAGCGAUACUCGGAAUCACUAGGCGUAAAGCGCACGUAGGCGGUUUGGAAAGUCUCUUGUGAAAGCUCCCGGCUCAACUGGGAGAGGUCAAGGGAAACUACCAGGCUAGAGUGCGGUAGAGGUAGCUGGAAUUCCCGGUGUAGCGGUGAAAUGCGUAGAUAUCCGGAGGAACACCAGUGGCGAAGGCGACUUCCUGGCCUGUUCUUGACGCUGAGGCGCGAAAGCUGGGGGAGCAAACGGG